AAGUAAAGAAGCCUGAGUGUGGAUUAUUACAAUCCUAUGGGAUGAGACCAUGACCAUAAUAGUUUUUUAUUCCGUGCACUUUGGAUCUUCGGGUUUUUGUACACUUUUAGUCCUCAACUUCCAUUUUCCAAACUCAUUCACUUUUGGUCUCUCAACUCAUAUGUUCUUCAAAUUUGUCCUCCAAAGUUACGAGAAUGCUCAAAUUGGUCUCCAAACUCUUCAAAUGUCCAAUUUAGUCUCCAAAAUUUGUGAAUGCAUACACUCAGCACUUUCAAAGCUUCUAAUCUAGCUCAAGCUUACUGGUGGCUCUUCAAUUACAUGCUUUAAGCUCCAAUUCUCUUCCUUCAUGCUCAGUUUACCUUCAAGUCGAAUUUUUUACAUAUAAAAGCAAUAUGUAUACUAUAUUAAGUAAAAAUAUGAUCAAAUAAUUAUUAUUAUGCAAUUUUAAAAGUUUAAAUAAAUGUGUCAAAUGCUCUUGUUAUAUUCCAUGAGAGAGCUUCGGAAGAACUCUCUAAAAUAUUCGAGAGAAGUAUCUAGAAAGUUCCAUAUAGAAUGAUUGUAAUGACUUGUAGAAGAUUGUAGCUAUAACUUUUCUUAUACAUUUAUUUCGUUUAAUAUCUCACAGAAGAUUUUAGAGAAUCAAUACUAACAAUAAGGUUGAAUAAAUCAUUACCAUUCAUUCUAAGGAUGUGAAUGAUAGA
rnacentral:lncRNA from 1 species